rnacentral:rRNA from 1 species
AGAGUUUGAUCCUGGCUCAGGACGAACGCUGGCGGCGUGCCUAACACAUGCAAGUCGAGCGAGAAAGCCCCUUCGGGGGUUAGUAAAGCGGCGGACGGGUGAGUAACACGUGAGCGAUCUACCCAAGGGUGGGGGACAACUCAGGGAAACCUGAGCUAAUACCGCGUAUAGCGCCGGCUUGGAAGCCUGGCGUGAAAGGUGGCCUCUACAUGUAAGCUAUCGCCUUUGGAUGAGCUCGCGGCCUAUCAGCUUGUUGGUGGGGUAAUGGCCUACCAAGGCGAUGACGGGUAGCUGGCGUGAGAGCGCGACCAGCCACACUGGGACUGGGACACGGCCCAGACUCCUACGGGAGGCAGCAGUGGGGAAUAUUGCGCAAUGGGCGAAAGCCUGACGCAGCGACGCCGCGUGGGGGAGGAAGGCCUCAGGGUUGUAAACCCCUGUCAGGUGGGACGAAUCCCGUAGUGUCUAAUAGGCAUUACGAAUGACGGUACCACCAGAGGAAGCUCCGGCUAACUCAGUGCCAGCAGCCGCGGUAAUACUGGGGGAGCGAGCGUUGUUCGGAAUUACUGGGCGUAAAGGGCGCGUAGGCGGCUUGGUCAGUCGCGUGUGAAAAGCCGGGGCUCAACCCCGAGCAUUGCACGUGAUACUGCCUGGCUCGAGAGAGGUAUGGGCGAGCGGAUUCCCCGUGUAACGGUGGAA